AAAAAAAAGCAUAUUUAUGAGUAUGUACUGUAAGCCAAGCACUAGGAUAGGUGUAUCAGGUGCAACAGUGAGCAGGGAUAGCACAGUGUGUCCCCACUUGCCAGCUAUGUGGCUUCUUUCUCCCUGGGUGUGCUGUAGGAUGAAAUUAUCCAGAUGGGCACCAAGCAUCUUUUUACCACAUUGCUAUCUGCUUCUCCACAUUUUCCCUUUCUGUAGUCCGUGCCUUCAGGCUGAGAAACUGAGUCUAGAGAUCGUUGCCUCCAGCAGAUCUGUUUCUUCCUGAACAGCACCUCUGCAGGUCAGCCGCAGCAAAUCUUGGUCCAUGAAAAGAACUUGCCAAUGCUUAUUCUUGAGAGAAAAGACCUGAGCUUCAUUUCAGUUGUCUGUUGAGCUAGUAGUAUUGGGGCCAGAAAGUUCUGAAGAGCUAGUAGAAGACGGCUGCCCUUUGAAGUCAUUAUUUCCAACAAUAGGUCACCUCCAAUACCCCUCCUGUGCCCCUCCCAUCACCAAAGCCAAGCAGUGCCAUGCUGCACUCCCUACCUCCAGGGAACCCGAGAUUCAAUUUCGGUUUCACCUCCCAGCCUUUGCCUGUUUCUAGCAUCUCAUGAUAUAGGAACAAGUUCUCUCAAGGGAUGCCAUGUUUUCCCUCAAAGUAUUCAUUUCAUUAACAAUCACACUGUGUUAUUAUGUUUUCCCUGUACUAUUCUAUAGAUCAUUUUUAUUAUGUAGAUACAAACUCUUUGAUAUUGUAAUUGUGAAGUACAUAUUAUGAAGACAAAUGCAUUGGGCAUAAUGAGAAUGGAUUGCCAAUAAAAGUCGAAAAACAAUGAACAAUUUUUAAAAGCAAAACCUUAUCCAGAGCACUGUCACUUUGAAUGCUUGCUAGAAAGCCCACUGGAUGGAAGGAGUUUAUUUUUAGUCUAAUGUUGAUAAAGGUUUGACUUUGGUAGCAUCUUAAUUAUCUGAUAAAAGCCAGACUCCUCUGCCUUGCUCACCUCUAAUGUCUAAUGCCUUCUGCUGGCAUUAAAAUUAUUGCCACGACUCCAGAGAGAGAAACAAGAGAUAGCUGCAUUGCAUUUCCAAGAUGUGAAUUAGAGUUUAAAGAGUCACUCAGUUUUGUUUAAACAAAUUACAAAAAUAAUGGGUUACCCUUAAAAGCUCUGUUUCAUAUAUUGUUAUCCUUCACUUGUGACACCCCUGACAGUGUCAUUCCCCACAUUAUGUCUCUCGUUUUUCACUAGGGGAGAAGAGUGGUUUCUGGGGGGUCUCUUCAGUGUUUUUUUUCAUUUUGUCCCUGGUUCUGAAGAACAGAGAAAGGACAAGGAGAAAAUGAGCCAAUGGCCUACGCUUUGGACACAAGGUCAUAUAUGGAGGGUGUGCUGAAGACUAUAUUGGUUGAUUGGUUGACUGGUUGGUUGAUUGAUUGAUUGAUUGAUAUACACUUGCCACCUCUAAAAUCACACAGGAUUGGGGUAAUGGAUUGGGGCCCAGACAUGGAGAUGAGGAGCCCCCUACAGGACAGCGAGUGUUCUUAGACAUAGGGAGGAAAAGGAAGGGGCAGACACAGACCUCUCCCGAUUUAGGGCAGUGAGACACAGGGGAGCAUGACAUGGACUCGGUCCUUGGCUAUAUGAUCUUGCCCAGGUCUCCACCUCUCUAGGCCUGUAUGUCUUAGUCAGAAAAUGAGGAGGCCAGACCAGGCUGUGUCUGACGUUGCUUCACCUUUGAUGUUUCAUGAGCCUCUGGGGGCUGGAAUCUAUGCAGCCACCAUUCCACGCACAGCCAACUGGGAUGCUUAAUUCUAAAAACCUCCCCUCUCAAAAGGAAAGUGUGCCAGUUUAAGUAUUUGAGGAAACAUUUUGUAGAGGGUUGACCCAGUUCCCACAUUAAGAAAAUAAUGCCCAGGCCCAUAUGGCUAAUUCCUUCCCAAACUGUUUGUUUGCCAUCAUGCAGACCUACCCUGAAAAUAAAGCGUCCAGUUGAGUUUCAGAAUCCAAAUGGAGCAGAAUGCAAAUGAGUGAGAUAAUGGUGAAAAGUACAUUUACUUUGAAAAUUCUUCCGAGUGCAGUCAUCAGCAGCACAGGCACCGGCAGUGCUGAUUUUUAAACUACACUGUUUCAUGAUUCAAGCUUCUAAUUUUUACCCUGAAUAAGAGAUGCCUCUUGUUGCAAGGCUCUCCCCACUCCAUUCUUUAACUUUUUUGCUUUGGCAAGCACCUACCCUCAUAAGCAUGGUUGGAGAGCUGAAAUAUCAGAAUUUUCUGCCAUGUCUCAAGGGAAGGGACUUUUGACUCUACUGUAAACCAUGACCAAGGCUGGGGAAGUUUAGGAGAGUUCCUGAGACCAGGUAGCUAGCUAACUCAGAGACCUUUCGAUCUAAUGCCAAUGGGGAAGGAGAAAAUGAGAAAGCAAUGAAGGCUUGGCAAAUGCUAUCAGGCCAGAAGGUUUCAUUUAAGUAACGGUUGGGGAUAGGUGCCUUUGCAUCACCUUAGUACAUCAGAUCUGCACAGGAAGGGGAGGUGCAAAGAUGUGGACAUUACUGGGUUUGUCUUGACGGUGCAAACCACCAGGCUGGGGAGAUAGAAUUCUUGGAAAAAAAAGUUUUUAGCAGGAGAGUUAGAAGUGGAAGGUGGUCUGGGUGCCCCAAUAUGUGGCCCUGCUGAUUGCAUUAAUCUUGUAAUUCCAUACGUUGGUGUUCUUGUACACGAGGUAGGCAGUUACUGCUUCUUUGCCUGAAAAAGCAUUUUUGUCCAAGCACCCAGUCAGCCAAGUGAGGGAUACUGUUGCUCAGUGUAUGGAUGAGGCUGGACAGAUGCCUGGACUCCUGUUCACCUGGAGGCAGCUCUUCUUUGUGGACCUGAGGUGUUCCGGACAUGUGUGUGCAGGGUAUGACUCGCCCACUCUUCUCCUCAGCUUUUAAUACAUUGAAAAAUAAUUUUUCAUGAGCUAGUAAUUAUAUAAAAAUUGCUUUUGCUUUAAACAAGAAUUAUGCUUGACUCUUGUGAGCAAAAAGAAAAAUGCACAAAGGGAAUCAUUAAUUUUGAAUAAAAACACAUACUUUCCUGCAGCCAGCAAAGGAGGGAAAUGUGAAAUUGGUGUUUUCUACAAACAGCCCGGCAUCGCUCCCCAAUCUGUUUGCUUGAUCUAUUAUCCAGUCACCCGCAAAGUUGAAUGUCUUGUUUGGCCUGAAUCUGACUUUUAUUCUUUUCCCUCUACCUAUUUUUUAAGGACUGUGUUAUAUGCAUACCUCAGCCUUCAUUUGCAUCACAUUAAAGUAAAACAUUUUAAAUUUCUUCACAGCAGAAGUAAAUCUGACAGACUUUAUGAAGCUAUUAUACCUGCAGUGUGGAAGAGUUUUGUGCAAAUAUGAAGCCUUUGAAGAUUCAGAGAGGGACACACAACUCAAACUCAGGUGUCAGAGCAGACGGCAGUGUCCUCGGCAUGCUUUGAGUGGCAGUACACCGCUGUUUGAGGGAUGAACUGAUUCCGAAGAGUCCAUUUGGACUGUAUUUCGCAUCAUCUGCUCCUUUCAUCAAAAGAGGCUCCGUGGAUGCUCUUGAUGUCUGCUCCUGGCUCCAGAGCCCAAACUGAGCCAGCUUCCAGGGCAUGGGCAGACCUGCUUCUCUGGAGCAAUGAGAUCCAAGCCUGUUGUGGCCAUGUAGAACAGUUUUGGUCCAGUCUUUCUGUAAGGUAGGCAGAAAAUUUCUGUGCAGGGAACCCACUUCCAGGUCUUGCCACAUGUACAGGGGCCCAGAUCUACACUGGAAGUGGGGAGGGGCAGUGCAGGAACUACACUGGAAGUGGGGAGGGGCAGUGUGCUCUGGGUAGCUGUCCUCCUCUGUAAUGGCAGGAGCUGGGUAUGCCUCGUGACCUCUUGGACUCCUGCUCACAUUAUCACUGCUGCCUUCCCAGAUGAGCUGUGCAAAUAGAUGGCGGCCAUGAGUGGAAUUGGAAACGAGGUUGGAGGGAGCUUCUGUCUGUCCAGUUUGGGGCCUGCCAAGCCUGGCAUGGUGAGGGUAUGGUGGAGCCAGGAGGGGCCACUAUGGGAGCCGGGCCAGGAAGCUGCAUUCUACUGAGCCUUUUACCUCUUGCAAGGACCUGCCUUUCAGGAGACUUCGGUCUCUAAAGGCCAGGGAUGGAAGCUUCAGGGAGAGCUCUCCAGCUCCUGUUUAGCUCUUUGGUUCAGACCUAAGUGGCGAGCCACUUGACUGGAUGGGACCUCCAGCCAGCCACAGCAUUGGAAUCCAGCCUGGCUCCUGCACUGCCUUUCAUAUUGAUGUCCAUGACAAUCCCAGCUGUCUUGCAGUACAUGGCACAGGCAGCCCUGGCAUCUUGAGGAGGGUGUUCAGUGUGGUCCCUGGCAGAAUAUGAGCCUGGGGCAGACAGGAUGUGGCUUUAGACCGUGAACAGGGAGCCCUGCCCCAGGACAUACGACCCUGUGCCCCACACUCGCCCACACUCACUCCUGGUCAUUAAUCACAGUGCUCAUGGGCCCCUGAUUCAAAGGAAGUGCCAGCUGUACAUGGGCCCAAUGAACUUUACUCAAGAUUAGAGGACUGUUUAGGGGCAUUUGAAAUGAAUUGUGGAAAGGACAUUUGUGAGACCAUUUGAAAGGUCACUCAGGGGUGGUACAACAGGAUAAAUAAUGAACCCAUUACAAGGUUCUAGUGAACCACUGUGGCCUUGGGAACUGAAUUUCAUCACUUUGGAAGCCAGAGAAAGGCACUGGAAAUAGCUUUGCCUUUGCACAGAGGGGAGUUUUCUUCUGCUUAACUGGAUCCAAUUAGAAAGUGAUUCAGCGAACACUUAUUCUGUGCGAGGGUCUUACAGUAAAGACUCAGUGUGGCAAGGCCCCUGUUUUCCAGGACUUUACAAUCCUAGUUGGGAGUGGGGUGAGGUCAGGGGUGUGUAAGUUGAACACUAUGAUGAGAGCACCCUGAGGCGGAUGCAGCCAGCUCCCUGUGAACAUGGACAACAUGACAGGGCUGGGUCUAGACACUGGAAAUGGGUCCACCUGGUUUACUAGACUUGAGCUGAACCCAUUUGUACAAUUAGAGGAAUUUAUCUAUUCACCAAAUAUGCAUAUCUCUUCAAUUAUUAAAGACUACCAUGUCCUACUUUCAGUCGCCCAGAAAUAGACCCUGCAAUUCCAGUGCCAGUAACUCAUGUCAGAGGUGAUCCCUGGAGACACUGCAGGAGAGUGGGCAGGAAGACAGGGAGUGAAGGUAGGCAGCAACGGUUCCUUAUCCAGCAAGUCAUGAGUAUGGCAGCCAGGUCUCAUCCUGUACAGAAUAGCCCUCAGCAUCAUCCCCACCAAGGGGCAAGGAAGCCGGGUGUUCAUUCCCCCACCUCCCUCUGUCAUUGGCUGAGGGCUGCAUUUGAGGCAUUAACUACCCAGGGAUUCUGCCAUGUCCUGCUAGGAGAAAAAAAAAAAAAAAAAAAGCCCUCAGGCAGAGGGUCACCCAUGUUCACCACAAACAGCUUUUUCUAUGUAGAUACAAUGGACUGAAUGUUUAUGUCCCCUCAAAAUUCAUAUGUUGAAACCUAGUCUCCAAGGUGAUGAGAUUAGGAGUAUUAGGACUUGGGGCUUUGGGAAAUGAUUAGGUCACAAGGGUGGAGGCUUUAUGAAUGGGAUUAGUGCUUUUAUAAAAGAAACCUCAGGGAGCUCUCUUGCCCCUCCAGCAAGUGAGGAUACAGCCAGAAGGCAGCUGUCUAUGAAGCAGGAAACCAGGCCCUCCCCAGACACCUAAUCUGCCAGUGCCUUGGUCUUGGACUUCCCAGCCUCCAGAAGUGUGAGAAGUAAAUCUCUGUUGUUUGUCAGCCACUCAGUGUAUGGUAUUCGGUUAUAGCAGCCCCAAGCAGACUGCCAGUAGAGUUGAAUGCUGCUGAGAGGAUAAGAAAGGGCACUAACAGCAUCAGAGACAAUAACAAAUAAUGAUCGGCCCCUACAUGUGGAUAGAAUCCGGGCUUAUAGUAUAUGACACUCCUACACUUUACCCUCCUAACCAACCUGUAAGAAAGACUGAGCAAGCAUCAGAGCUUAGUAGUCAUCAGGAGUGGGAGAAAAGGCUAAAUGAAUCCCAGCCCCACCAUUACAGUCACCAAAGAGGGAAGGCUGUGAAUCAGGGGCAAUUUCCUUCUCCCAGCCCUCCUUUGCUCUCCACCUAGGGCGACGUGGCCCUCCCUCAAAGCCCCACCAGCCACACUUUCUCCUGAGCCCUCUCCAGCCUUGCUGACGACCCACAUCGAUCUACGGGGUCCUCUAACGCCCUUAUCCACACUCUGCCCCACACAGCCAAGCCCUCAGUCAAGGGCUGCCCUGCUGGACCGCACUGGUGCAGCUUCUUCCAAUCUGAGCAUUGCCACCUUCGUAACAGGAAUGUUUUUCCUUCUCUCUCAUCCUCCAUGUGUGUGGUAUGCCAUAGCACAUGCUUAAUAGACAUCUGACUGGUUAAUUUGAAGUAGUCCAAUACGAGACUCUCCUAAAGACAAACUGGCUAUGCUCUCCCACCCCCGCUUCACACCCACCCCCC
rnacentral:lncRNA from 1 species